UUGUGUGUCAACUUUCAAUCCCAGACAGACUGAAAUCCAGAGGAUGAGUGAUUGUGGGGGUGAAGAGGAGGAGCGACCAUUGUUUCCAGUUUCCAGCUGUCAGCCAAUGACUAAAGACUUCAGUGAUGAACCUGGACCCUCACAAAGAGAUGUUCAUACCGACCCUCAGACUACAAAUCCUGCUGCCCUAAACGAC